AUAUAAAGCCUAAAUAUCCUGAAAGCACCAGCUCAUAUCUGAUCUAGGAAGUUAAGCAAAAUUACCCCUGGUAAGUACUUGCACGGGACACCACCAAUGGAUACUAGUUGCUGUAAACU
rnacentral:rRNA from 11 species